GAAAAUAAGGAGAAGAAGAAAAAAAACAUAAAAAAUAUUGACAAAACCAGAAAAGAGAAAAAAAAAGUGCAAUUAUUGCUAGAAGUCAAGGUAGAAAGAAUUGAGAGUACAAUUAUCUUCUUCAUUCUUUUGGAAGUCAAGAGGCUUAGAUCAAGAGUUGGAGAAAUGAAGCAUAUCAAUUUAUGUUAUAGCCUGCUUAAAAUUUCGAGGGAAUUAUUUUGAGCCAUGGAUGUGUUAUGUACUCCACUUUUUUUUUCUUUGAAGGAUUAGUAUGUGUUUUAAUACAUUUGUAUGAUUUUAUGUCGAAAUUUGUAUUAAUAAUUCUUUUGCCGAAUUA